rnacentral:rRNA from 1 species
CCUCUUUCAGUAGGGAAGAAGCUCUUCGGGGUGACGGUACCUGCAGAAGAAGCGCCGGCUAACUACGUGCCAGCAGCCGCGGUAAUACGUAGGGCGCAAGCGUUGUCCGGAAUUAUUGGGCGUAAAGAGCUCGUAGGCGGUCUGUCGCGUCUGCUGUGAAAACGCGGGGCUCAACCCCGCGCCUGCAGUGGGUACGGGCAGACUAGAGUGCGGUAGGGGAGACUGGAAUUCCUGGUGUAGCGGUGGAAUGCGCAGAUAUCAGGAGGAACACCGGUGGCGAAGGCGGGUCUCUGGGCCGUUACUGACGCUGAGGAGCGAAAGCAUGGGGAGCGAACAGGAUUAGAUACCCUGGUAGUCCAUGCCGUAAACGUUGGGCACUAGGUGUGGGACCCAUUCCACGGGUUCCGUGCCGCAGCUAACGCAUUAAGUGCCCCGCCUGGGGAGUACGGCCGCAAGGCUAAAACUCAAAGGAAUUGACGGGGGCCCGCACAAGCGGCGGAGCAUGCGGAUUAGUUCGAUGCAACGCGAAGAACCUUACCAAGGCUUGACAUACACCGGAAACGUCCAGAGAUGGGCGCCCCGCAAGGUCGGUGUACAGGUGGUGCAUGGUUGUCGUCAGC